rnacentral:rRNA from 1 species
GACGAACGCUGGCGGCGUGCUUAAUACAUGCAAGUCGAACGGAAAGGCCCUGCUUUUGUUGUGUGCUCGAGUUGCGAACGGGUGAGUAACACGUGAGUAACCUGCCCUUUACUUUGGGAUAACUUCAGGAAACGGGGGCUAAUACCGCAUAAGAGCUCCUGCUGCAUGGUGUUGGUUGGAAAGUUUCGGCGGUUUGGGAUGGACUCGCGGCUUAUCAGCUUGUUGGUGUGGUAGUGGCUUACCAAGGCUUUGACGGGGAGCCGGCCUGAGAGGGUGACCGGCCACAGUGGGACUGAGAUACGGGCCAGAAUCCUACGUGAGGCAGCAGUGGGGAAUAUUGCACAAUGGGCGGAAGCCUGAUGCAGCAACGUCGGGUGCGGGAUGACGGCCUUCGGGGUGUAAACCGCUUUCGCCUGUGACGUAGAGUGAGUGACGGUAAUGGGUCAAGAAGCACCGGCUAACUACGUG